rnacentral:rRNA from 1 species
CUUGAGGCAGUCUACACAUGCAAGUCGAGCGGUAGCACAGAGAGCUUGCUCUCGGGUGACGAGCGGCGGACGGGUGAGUAAUGUCUGGGAAACUGCCUGAUGGAGGGGGAUAACUACUGGAAACGGUAGCUAAUACCGCAUAACGUCGCAAGACCAAAGUGGGGGACCUUCGGGCCUCAUGCCAUCAGAUGUGCCCAGAUGGGAUUAGCUGGUAGGUGGGGUAACGGCUCACCUAGGCGACGAUCCCUAGCUGGUCUGAGAGGAUGACCAGCCACACUGGAACUGAGACACGGUCCAGACUCCUACGGGAGGCAGCAGUGGGGAAUAUUGCACAAUGGGCGCAAGCCUGAUGCAGCCAUGCCGCGUGUGUGAAGAAGGCCUUCGGGUUGUAAAGCACUUUCAGCGGGGAGGAAGGCGGUGAGGUUAAUAACCUCAUCGAUUGACGUUACCCGCAGAAGAAGCCCGGCUAACUCCGUGCCAGCAGCCGCGGUAAUACGGAGGGUGCAAGCGUUAAUCGGAAUUACUGGGCGUAAAGCGCACGCAGGCGGUCUGUCAAGUCGGAUGUGAAAUCCCCGGGCUCAACCUGGGAACUGCAUUCGAAACUGGCAGGCUAGAGUCUUGUAGAGGGGGGUAGAAUUCCAGGUGUAGCGGUGAAAUGCGUAGAGAUCUGGAGGAAUACCGGUGGCGAAGGCGGCCCCCUGGACAAAGACUGACGCUCAGGUGCGAAAGCGUGGGGAGCAAACAGGAUUAGAUACCCUGGUAGUCCACGCUGUAAACGAUGUCGAUUUGGAGGUUGUGCCCUUGAGGCGUGGCUUCCGGAGCUAACGCGUUAAAUCGACCGCCUGGGGAGUACGGCCGCAAGGUUAAAACUCAAAUGAAUUGACGGGGGCCCGCACAAGCGGUGGAGCAUGUGGUUUAAUUCGAUGCAACGCGAAGAACCUUACCUGGUCUUGACAUCCACAGAACUUUCCAGAGAUGGAUUGGUGCCUUCGGGAACUGUGAGACAGGUGCUGCAUGGCUGUCGUCAGCUCGUGUUGUGAAAUGUUGGGUUAAGUCCCGCAACGAGCGCAACCCUUAUCCUUUGUUGCCAGCGGUUAGGCCGGGAACUCAAAGGAGACUGCCAGUGAUAAACUGGAGGAAGGUGGGGAUGACGUCAAGUCAUCAUGGCCCUUACGACCAGGGCUACACACGUGCUACAAUGGCAUAUACAAAGAGAAGCGACCUCGCGAGAGCAAGCGGACCUCAUAAAGUAUGUCGUAGUCCGGAUUGGAGUCUGCAACUCGACUCCAUGAAGUCGGAAUCGCUAGUAAUCGUAGAUCAGAAUGCUACGGUGAAUACGUUCCCGGGCCUUGUACACACCGCCCGUCACACCAUGGGAGUGGGUUGCAAAAGAAGUAGGUAGCUUAACCUUCGGGAGGGCGCUACCACUUGGUUACGGG